UGCGGGGUGGGAAAAUUCGUGAAAUCAAAGGCUUAUCGGCUAUGCUAUUGGUUUUGCUAAGCUAUUGGAAUCGCUACACUUUAGGCUCAUAACCUGAAGGUCACAGGUUCAAAUCCUGUCCCCGCAACCA
rnacentral:tRNA from 1 species